UUUUUGGUAUAACUAUGUUUCAUGUAAUAUUUGGGAAAUACUUAUACUAAAA
rfam:Papio anubis isolate 1X1155 chromosome 12, whole genome shotgun sequence.